AACGAACGCUGGCGGCAGGCUUAACACAUGCAAGUCGAGCGAGGACUUCGGUUCUAGCGGCGGACGGGUGAGUAACGCGUGGGAACGUGCCCUUUGCUACGGAAUAGCCGCGGGAAACUGGGAGUAAUACCGUAUGUGCCCUUUGCCCUUGGCGGGUAUUGGGGAAAGAUUUAUCGGCAAAGGAUCGGCCCGCGUUGGAUUAGGUAGUUGGUGGGGUAAUGGCCUACCAAGCCGACGAUCCAUAGCUGGUUUGAGAGGAUGAUCAGCCACACUGGGACUGAGACACGGCCCAGACUCCUACGGGAGGCAGCAGUGGGGAAUCUUAGACAAUGGGGGCAACCCUGAUCUAGCCAUGCCGCGUGAGUGAUGAAGGCCUUAGGGUUGUAAAGCUCUUUCAGCUGGGAAGAUAAUGACGGUACCAGCAGAAGAAGCCCCGGCUAACUCCGUGCCAGCCGCCGCGGUAAGAC
rnacentral:rRNA from 1 species